rnacentral:misc_RNA from 1 species
GGCGCUACGGUCGUAAAUGGGUCCUUUAGGCCAAGGAGCUAGCUGCGUGCCUGCACACUGCACCGAGAACAACUUAUGUCGCCCACCACAUGCAGGUGCCCGACACGGUAUGCCGGCAGCCCCAACUUCAGCCCACCACGCCACGAGGCGUGGGGAGCCAAACACCACGUCCGUACCCAAGGAUGGGUUGGGAGUGUCUUUUGGCGUGACGCCCAGGCAGGCGUGCCCUCAACCAGAAGGCCUUGGGCGCAACUUGCGUUCAAAAACUCGAUGGUUCGCGGGAUUCUGCAAUUCACACCAGGUAUCGCAUUUUGCUACGUUCUUCAUCGAUGCGAGAGCCGAGAUAUCCGUUGCCGAGAGUCGUGUGGAUUAAGAUAGCAACAUUGCACGGGGCAAGCGCGGCAGGCCGAGCAUGACCCCGAGCAAGGCAAUAUCAGUGUUCCUUGACGCCUUUGGCGCCGUGGGUUCUUUGGCGGCCUCCCUCCAACGAAACGAAGGUGGGGGGCCUUGGUCGG